UUGCAGCAACAUGGAUUCAACUGGAGAUUAUCGUACUAAGUGAAGAAACCAAAUUAUCUGACCUUCAAGAUCAAACUCUCUCAGUUUACUAAGAAAAAGAAACAGAAAAUGAAGGACUGUUUUCUCUAUUUUAUGAUUACCUACAACCAUAAACACAUUUGGAUUCUAAAGAGUGAAUAUGCACAAAGCAAAGUAUCUGGAAGGCUUCAAAGCAAACUACUAAUAGGAUCUACCUCUCAAGGACACAAGAUGCAUGUAUUAUCAUUAGAAUUUGACCAAGAAUAAAGGAAAUGUAUGAGUAUCCAUUUAUCCAAUGCUGAGUGAAGAAACAAUGACAAAAAGCUCCACCUACAGUAUAACCAGGAUACAAUUGAAGAAAAUAAAUAAUGAUGUGUUCAUCUGUGGUUGAAAGUUUGUGUGUUUCAAGCACUGUGUGAGCAAAUAGGGGAGUUUAUUGAUGAGCAGUAGACUAUAUUUAUUUAGUUAAAUAAUAUCAGCUCUUAUGAAUGAAUGGCUGUACAUCUUGUUCACAACAUUCGAACACAUGUACCCAUUAAGCUGUCCAUAGUGGUUCCCUUGGGAUAGGUUGAUUUGGGAUGAAGUAUUUCCAUAUGUCUUUCAGAGAUGUGGGUAUUCUGCAAGAGUCUUCACAAUGUUUGUACUAUACUGUAAUUCAAUAGCAAAUCCAGAACAAAUAUGUGCAGAAAAAAUUAUUGGUGACAACUUGCUCUGUUGACCUCAGGAGGCCUAAGGAAUAUGAACAUACACAACAGGAGGAUUGAAGAGACAACCAUAUUUUAUAAGUCCUUGUCUGUUUGAGGUGGCAUUGCUUGUGACUUGCUUGCACUUCUUUAUAAAUUGGCUGUUGUAGCUGGACUUAUUGUUAAGAAGCAUGUCUAAUUUUGAGAAAUUCCAAUCGUAAGCGGCUACUCUUUAAAAAAUAACCAGUAUUUCAAAGAAUAUUUAAUGAAGUUUGGAAAGUACUCUAGCCUCAGUAAAUGCAGAAAACAUAUUUGAACACCAGAGGUCUGAAGGAGUUUUAAUUUAAUUUUUAGAAGUUAUUAGUAUAUUGUGUAAGAGGUGAGAAUGACAUUUUAAAAGUCUUUAUUCUUGUUGGGAUGGAACUUCCAUUACUUUUGGCCUUAUGACUUCUCAAAAUUUGAACAGUUUGCCUAUAACAGGUAUUUCUUUUGUAAAUCUCUUGGAUGAUAAGGCUCUUCCUACAGGAGAAUAAAGAAAUUCCAAGUUCUCCAAAUAUGUAUAUGUAUAUGAGAAUAUGGAAAUUGUAUAAGAUGAUGAUUUUGUCAGAACUACCUUCAGUAUGCAUCCAAUUAUGUUCAAAGAGAAAUAAACAUACAUAUUUCUACAUCAUAUAUAACCAUCUAUAUGUCUACG